GUUGUCCCGACGGAAUAUCCUGCAGCAUGGCUGCCGAAUAACGGCACAGAACUUUACUCCUUUUUAGCAUGGACCUGGGCAUCGCUGAUAAGGUUUGAGCAAACAAAGUGCUGGAAGAACUCAGCAGGCCCAACAGCAUCUGUGGACUAUGGCUGAGGGACCGUCAAUGUUUCAGAUUUAUUUGAAGAACCAAGCUUAAAUGUCUCAUUGUGACCUCUGGAUUACUGGCCCCGUAAUUAAACCACUCCUUUCACAACAUUUGAUGAGAUCUUUCUCGCAGCGAUCGCUUUUCCUCAUCCAGUCCAGCCGAAGAGUCUUGGGACCUGAAAAGACUGUCCAUCCCCCUCUACAGUUGCAGUCUGACCUGCUGAGUUCUUCCAUCAGUUUGUUUGUUGCUCCAGGUUCCAGCAUCUGCAGUGUCUUGUAACUC